rnacentral:lncRNA from 1 species
CCAUCAUCAUCAUAUACUUGUGCGUUUUUUAAUUAUAAAUGAUAAAAAUUAAAUUAAUCAUUCAUCUUCUAAUUUUCAUUUACAAAUUAUGUUUUAAUUUUUGUUUUGAUUUUCCUGAAGUCGUAAUUUGUUACGUAUAGGCUUCUGAAAGCCCAACCAAAAAGAAUAAGUAAUCGCUUAGGUCAAUGGGUUAGGAGGGGGAGGAGGUAUUUGAUAAGUUGACUCUUCUAACUUGCAGGGAGCUUUUGUUGAAAAAUAUAAAGUUCU